CAGCCGCCGCGGGAAUACGUAGGGUGCGAGCGUUAAUCGGAAUUACUGGGCGUAAAGCGUGCGCAGGCGGCUUUGCAAGACAGAUGUGAAAUCCCAGGGCUCAACCUGGGAACUGCAUUUGAGACUGUAUGGCUAGAGUGUGUCAGAGGGGGGUAGAAUUCCACGUGUAGCAGUGAAAUGCGUAGAUAUGUGGAGGAAUACCGAUGGCGAAGGCAGCCCCCUGGGAUAACACUGACGCUCAUGCACGAAAGCGUGGGGAGCAAACAGGAUUAGAGACCCGCGUAGUCCCUGUCUCUUAUAC
rnacentral:rRNA from 1 species